rnacentral:rRNA from 1 species
GCGGCAGGCCUAACACAUGCAAGUCGAGCGGUAACAGAGAGUAGCUUGCUACUUUGCUGACGAGCGGCGGACGGGUGAGUAAUGCUUGGGAACAUGCCUUGAGGUGGGGGACAACAGUUGGAAACGACUGCUAAUACCGCAUAAUGUCUACGGACCAAAGGGGGCUUCGGCUCUCGCCUUUAGAUUGGCCCAAGUGGGAUUAGCUAGUUGGUGAGGUAAUGGCUCACCAAGGCGACGAUCCCUAGCUGGUUUGAGAGGAUGAUCAGCCACACUGGGACUGAGACACGGCCCAGACUCCUACGGGAGGCAGCAGUGGGGAAUAUUGCACAAUGGGCGCAAGCCUGAUGCAGCCAUGCCGCGUGUGUGAAGAAGGCCUUCGGGUUGUAAAGCACUUUCAGUCAGGAGGAAAGGUUAGUAGUUAAUACCUGCUAGCUGUGACGUUACUGACAAAAGAAGCA